GGACUGGCGCGCCCCACAGAACCAAGGAUGGGCUUUUAUAGGAUUUUGGGGAGCAGAAGCAAGCAUACAGAAGCAGAUGCAUGGUUACAGGGAUAUAAUUGGUGGAUUCUAAUAUGGCAAGGGUUUAGCCCGGGGGCAAGUUUCCUAGCUACCUUCCUGAAACAUAAGGACUGACUCGGCCCCCCAAGGGUUCAGCCCGGGGGCAAGUUUCUUAGCUACCUUCUUGGAACAUAACGACUGACUCGGCCCCCCCAAGGGUUCAGCCUGGGGGCAAGUUUCCUAGCUACCUUUCUGGAACAUAACGGCUGACUCGGCC
rnacentral:lncRNA from 1 species